UCCCCGGUUGCUCUGCUGGUAGGGGCCGCCUGACUUUGAAUCAGGAUUAGCGACGAAGGUUCGAUUCCUUCCCGGGGAG
rnacentral:tRNA from 2 species